GACGGAGGGGGCAAGCGUUGUCCGGAAUCACUGGGCGUAAAGCGCGUGUAGGCGGUCGUGUGCGUCGGUGCUGAAAGCGCCCGGCUUAACCGGGCGAGGCGUGCCGAUACGAUGCGACUGGAGGCAGGCAGAGGGCGGCGGAAUUCCGGGUGUAGCGGUGAAAUGCGUAGAGCUCCGGAGGAACGCCGGUGGGGGAGCCGGCCGCCUGGGCCUGACCUGACGCUGAGACGCGAAAGCGUGGGGAGCAAACCGG
rnacentral:rRNA from 1 species